AAACAGUGCAGGACGGAAUCUUCAAAGGUGGACUUCGCAAAGCCGGCUCCGGGCACAUGUCAUGGGGGUUAACAGUCAUCAAUAUCAUCGAACCAGGGUAGUUUGGAAUACCAGACAGCGUCGUUGGCUCCCCCUGUGACGGUGGUGCAACUCCUCGAUGGUGUUGGAGUCAGCAGCAGUUGUAGGUUGCAUAAAAAUAAGAGAAAAGCAUUUAGUAUACUGAUAUCCUGGAGCAGAAGGAUAACAGGGUGUACGGUGGAAUUUCGGAAGAAACGGUGUGUGGGAUACCACUUACCCACUGGAUGACAGUCAGACGGUCUUGUUUGGUGGCAAUAAAGCUGCACAGAACAAACAAAAACUGUACGAAACAGAAUCUUCCAACACUGGCAGACCAGGUUAGAUCUAUCGGUUAUGGUGGAAUCGCGGAAAUAUAGGUUUUGGCCACAUAGUGUCACCUCGGACAGGCCUGGGUCGUCUUCUUGGACGUCUUCCGGGGGAGCGGUUCCUUCUUCUGAACUGGAGUGGUCUUCCGGGGAAGCGGUUCCUUCUUCGGAACUGGAGCGGUACGGAGCUUC